AGAGUUUGAUCCUGGCUCAGGAUGAACGCUAGCUACAGGCUUAACACAUGCAAGUCGAGGGGCAGCAUGGUCUUAGCUUGCUAAGGCUGAUGGCGACCGGCGCACGGGUGAGUAACACGUAUCCAACCUGCCGUCUACUCUUGGCCAGCCUUCUGAAAGGAAGAUUAAUCCAGGAUGGGAUCAUGAGUUCACAUGUCCGCAUGAUUAAAGGUAUUUUCCGGUAGACGAUGGGGAUGCGUUCCAUUAGAUAGUAGGCGGGGUAACGGCCCACCUAGUCAACGAUGGAUAGGGGUUCUGAGAGGAAGGUCCCCCACAUUGGAACUGAGACACGGUCCAAACUCCUACGGGAGGCAGCAGUGAGGAAUAUUGGUCAAUGGACGAGAGUCUGAACCAGCCAAGUAGCGUGAAGGAUGACUGCCCUAUGGGUUGUAAACUUCUUUUAUAAAGGAAUAAAGUCGGGUAUGCAUACCCGUUUGCAUGUACUUUAUGAAUAAGGAUCGGCUAACUCCGUGCCAGCAGCCGCGGUAAUACGGAGGAUCCGAGCGUUAUCCGGAUUUAUUGGGUUUAAAGGGAGCGUAGAUGGAUGUUUAAGUCAGUUGUGAAAGUUUGCGGCUCAACCGUAAAAUUGCAGUUGAUACUGGAUGUCUUGAGUGCAGUUGAGGCAGGCGGAAUUCGUGGUGUAGCGGUGAAAUGCUUAGAUAUCACGAAGAACUCCGAUUGCGAAGGCAGCCUGCUGGACUGUAACUGACGCUGAUGCUCGAAAGUGUGGGUAUCAAACAGGAUUAGAUACCCUGGUAGUCCACACAGUAAACGAUGAAUACUCGCUGUUUGCGAUAUACAGUAAGCGGCCAAGCGAAAGCGUUAAGUAUUCCACCUGGGGAGUACGCCGGCAACGGUGAAACUCAAAGGAAUUGACGGGGGCCCGCACAAGCGGAGGAACAUGUGGUUUAA
rnacentral:rRNA from 1 species